rnacentral:rRNA from 1 species
CCUACGGGUGGCAGCAGUGGGGGAUAUUGCACAAUGGGGGGAACCCUGAUGCAGCGACGCCGCGUGGGUGAAGGAGUGCUUCGGCAUGUAAAGCCCUAUCGGCAGGGAAGAAGCAAGACGGUACCUGACUACGACGCCCCGGCUAACUCAGUGCCAGCAGCCUCGGUAAUACGGAGGAUGCGAGCGUUAUCCGGAUGUAUUGGGUUUAAAGGGUGCGUAGGCGGGAUGCCAAGUCAGCGGUAAAAAUGCGGUGCUCAACGCCGGCGAGCCGUUGAAACUGGCGUUCUUGAGUGGGCGAGAAGUAUGCGGAAUGCGUGGUGUAGCGGUGAAAUGCAUAGAUAUCACGCAGAACUCCGAUUGCGAAGGCAGCAUACCGGCGCCCUACUGACGCUGAGGCACGAAAGCGUGGGUAUCGAACAGGAUUAGAUACCCGUGUAGUC